rfam:Ictidomys tridecemlineatus contig011004, whole genome shotgun sequence.
UGCGGUGUAGCUCAGUGGCAGAGAGCUCACCUAGCAUGUACGAGGCCCUGAGUUCGACCCUCAGCACCACAU